GGCUCGGUAGCUUAGUUGGUAAAGCGCUCGUGUUGCAUACAAGAGUCCUGGGUUUUUUAAAUCCCAGCCAAGCAA
rnacentral:tRNA from 2 species